GAUGAACGCUGGCGGCGUGCCUAAUACAUGCAAGUCGAGCGAACAGCUCAGGAGCUUGCACCUUUGACGUUAGCGGCGGACGGGUGAGUAACACGUCGGUCACCUACCUGUUAGACUGGGGUAACUUCGGGAAACAGCAGAUAAUACCGCAUAACAAUUGGAACCGCACGGUUUUAAAGUGAAAGAGGGUUUUGCUAUCACGUUUGGAGGGUACCGCCCCGCCUUAGCUAUUUGGUAAGGUAACGGCGUACGAAGGAGACGAUACGUUGCCGACGUGAUAGGGUGAUCGGCCACAUCGGAGGUGAUGCGCGCUCCAGACUCCGACGGGAGGCAGCUGCAGGCAAUCUUCCGCAACGGGCGAAAGCCGGACGGAGCAGCGCCGCGGGGGGGAUGAAGGGGUCCGGCGCGUAAAACUCUGUUAUUAGGGAAGAAGAAACGUGGAAGUAACUUUGCACGUCUUGACGGUACCUAAACAGAAAGCCACGGCUAACUACGUG
rnacentral:rRNA from 1 species